rnacentral:rRNA from 1 species
GAUGAACGCUAGCGGCAGGCUUAACACAUGCAAGUCGAGGGGUAAGGUUAGCUUGCUAAUCUGAGACCGGCGCACGGGUGCGUAACGCGUAUGCAAUCUACCUUUCACAAAGGGAUAGCCCAGAGAAAUUUGGAUUAAUACCUUAUAGUAAUACGACUUGGCAUCAAGAUGUAUUUAAAGAUUUAUCGGUGAAAGAUGAGCAUGCGUCCCAUUAGCUAGUUGGUAUGGUAACGGCAUACCAAGGCAACGAUGGGUAGGGGUCCUGAGAGGGAGAUCCCCCACACUGGUACUGAGACACGGACCAGACUCCUACGGGAGGCAGCAGUGAGGAAUAUUGGACAAUGGGCGCAAGCCUGAUCCAGCCAUGCCGCGUGCAGGAUGACGGUCCUAUGGAUUGUAAACUGCUUUUAUACAGGAAGAAACCCCUCUACGUGUAGAGACUUGACGGUACUGUAAGAAUAAGGAUCGGCUAACUCCGUGCCAGCAGCCGCGGUAAUACGGAGGAUCCAAGCGUUAUCCGGAAUCAUUGGGUUUAAAGGGUCCGUAGGCGGUCAGGUAAGUCAGUGGUGAAAGCCCAUCGCUCAACGGUGGAACGGCCAUUGAUACUGUCUGACUUGAAUUAUUAGGAAGUAACUAGAAUAUGUAGUGUAGCGGUGAAAUGCUUAGAGAUUACAUGGAAUACCAAUUGCGAAGGCAGGUUACUACUAAUAUAUUGACGCUGAUGGACGAAAGCGUGGGUAGCGAACAGGAUUAGAUACCCUGGUAGUCCACGCCGUAAACGAUGGAUACUAGCUGUUGGGCGCAAGUUCAGUGGCUAAGCGAAAGUGAUAAGUAUCCCACCUGGGGAGUACGAACGCAAGUUUGAAACUCAAAGGAAUUGACGGGGGCCCGCACAAGCGGUGGAGCAUGUGGUUUAAUUCGAUGAUACGCGAGGAACCUUACCAAGGCUUAAAUGUAGAUUGACCGUUU